rnacentral:tRNA from 1 species
GGUAGGGUAGCCGAGUACUAAGCCAGUGGGUUGUAGCCCCGAAGACAGAGGUUCAAAUCCUCUCCCUAUCA